rnacentral:lncRNA from 1 species
CUGUUUAAUUGGAAUGGCUUUAGGAAGAUGUACACCCUAUAACGGGUCAUGGAUCCUAAUACUCACUACAGUUUUAUCUUGGGUAUCUUUCACCUGGUGACAUUCCCACCUAAAUGAUCCUUGAUGGAAUUUUAGCUUAUCAUCUUUGCCAUGGUCUGUAAUAGACAGCCCCUAAACUAACACACGGUUUAUAUUUUAUCCCAUUCUUACUGUACUCUCUAGGUAUCUGUAUCAC